CUGUGGCUUCCUCUUUGAAAUUGUUGCAAGUUUGAGGAGGGGGAGGCAAGAGCCGGAAAGUCUGGAGAUUCCUGCAGGAAGGGAGGGGGCGGGGGGUUAGGAAGCCGGGCCCAAAGCGCCCCCCUCGCACUGAUCUUGGAUCGAGUGGUUUUUGCAGCACAUGGGAAGCAAAAGUUUUCCUCUCCCCCGUUGCCCACUGCUGCUCCCCGCCCCUGGUGCCCGCCGACGCAGCAGCCAGCAGCAGCCAGCCCGCUCCCCGGGACCGGGCUCGGGCUCGGGCUCGCGCGGGCGCCUCGCUUCGCCCUUUGCAGCUGCGCUGCUCCGCCCUGGAUACUUCGGGCUGGUUUGUGCCCCGCUCUCCUGCGGGCUGUGAGCGGUAAAAGGCGAUCGGCCCCUUCCCCGCCGUCCUGCGGGCUGGGGGGAGGAGAGGAACAGCCUCCCCCAGCAAGGGGCACGCGGGGCAGGGAGGAACUUCAGGGAUGUGCAGUUUGCGGGGAGCGUGUUUGAGCUUCGCCCGGCUGCUUUAGCGGACGCAGGGAAGCGACGCGGCUCCGAGCCCGGUCGGCUCCGGUCUCAGCAUGGGGACUGGCAUGUGCUCGAGACGGCAAAAGGGGCUUCUGCAGACCGGCUUCUGCCUGGUGGCGGUGGCGUGUGUGGGCGCCGGAGUUUUCCUGUACAGUCACUUGCAGCAGAAGACGAGGAGCGCCGAAGCCCUGGCUCUGAAAUUCAGACAGCAGCAGGAAGCUCUGUCCGCCCAGCUCCAAGUUGUGUACGAGCACAGAUCACGGCUCGAACGAUCCCUGCAGAAGGAGCGAGGGGAGCACAAGAAGACUAAAGAAGAUUUUUUGGUGUAUAAAUUAGAAGCUCAAGAGGCACUCAACAAAGAGAAGCAAGAUUCUAUGAACAGAUAUGGGGCCCUCAGUUCACAACAUAAGAUACUGAAGAACCAGCACGAAGACGUCAAGAAACAGCUGCUCGACCUGCAGCUGCAGCACAACAGCUUGAAACUAGAACAUCGCAAGACGCUGGAGACCCACAGCCAGAAAUACACGCAGCUGCAGCGGGAGAAGGAGAGUGAAGUCACGGGCCUGCAGGAUACCGUCUUCAAACUCAGAGAGGAGAGCAAGCUUCUCCGGCAGGCCCACCAGGAUGUCCACUCUCAGCUCCUUGAUGCUCAGACCCAGAUGGAGGAGUUCAGGCAGCUCAAGGAAGCUCUGCAGAAGAUGCCAAGUUUCAAGGAAGUGGGACCUGCAAAGGGGCACGAACAGCUCCGGGCAGUCAAGGAACAGCCCCCGGUGCCAGGCAGCAACCAUUUGCAGCUCUCUAGGCCGAAGGUGUUUGCAGCCAAUGGGGCCAAAAUGCUGCUGAGCCCCGUGGAUCAGGAGAAGCCCGUUGGUGGGAGCCUGAUGCGACCACAGAUCUCGGGGGUCAGGAGCCAGGGAGAGGGGACUUUGCCCCAAGGCCAGACCUCGCAUAAUAAUGAUGGCCCCAGGCCUCAGAGCGAUGUGCUGUUCGCCCAUCCGGCCCCGCUGCAGGAAGCCAACCCACCACCAGCAGCCCUGCCUGCCCGGCCGCAGGGACAUGGGGACAGCACUGUGAUCCGAUUCACGCGGACAGUGAACAGUGUGCAGAAUGGGAACUCGGAUGACAAGGUGGUGGUGAGCAUUCAGGGGAAAACCAGUGAGGAAAACCAUGCUCCCAGAAGGGUGGUGCCUAAUCUGAAACGGCCAUCUACAUUGGAGAAGGAGGCGGCUCCAGCCAACCAUCCCUCGACAGGGAACAAACCGGCGCAGAUGCAAAGCUGGCAAGACAUUGUUAACAAAGUGAAUGCCCAAAUGGACGAGGAACAAGUGCACAGUUACCCAAAGCACCGUCACUUUGACACCAGAUCUGAGCAGAAUGGCAAUCUGUUGCUGGCCAAUCAACAAAGAGGGGUGGAGCAUCCGAUAGCCAAUCGGGAAGGAAACAAGGAAGGGACCGAUGAUGAGGAACUCGAGAUGGAUGCUGGGAUGAUCGAAAGAGAAGAGAAUAUGCACACGCGAAAAGAGGCGGUGGUCCAGGAGCCAAUGAUGCCUGAUGAUGCUGCAGACCCUGCUCAGGACCCCAAUAACCAAGGGGAAGAUGAGUUUGAGGAGGCUGAGCUGGAGAGGCCGGAUUUUGAGGAGAAGGUGGUCCAAUCAGACACAUACAAGGAACCCAGCAUGCUAGGGAAAGAGGAGACAAAGAAGCCACUGAAGGGUGCCGCUGGGCCAGACAAAGCCAGGGAAGAGCCAAUGGAUGACUACCAAGAAGAUCAGGAGCAAGAAAUUUCUUGCAGAAUAGCUCGGUGUAGCUUGAAAGCUUGUACAUUUCACCAACAGAAGUCAGUCCAAUAAAAUAUUACCUCACCCACCCUGUCUUGCUACUAUCCUGGGACCAACAGGGCUACAACGCUGCAAACAACAAUUUAAAAGGAAUCUCCUGCUUCCACAUUUUGACAAUGGCAAGAGCGGCAGGAACAUGCUCCCAACAUAGAUCUUUCAAGAGCUUUCUGAAAGCAUUAUGUGGUUAAGCAAGUGUGCCUGGUGUUAUGUCCCCACCAAUGGUUGUCUUCACUUUCCCUCUGUAUUGCAGAAAAUGGAUGACCCCAGGAGACUGAGUGAAUGGAUGAGUCCUUCUGGUGACUGGAAGUGGCUUCGGAUUACAAGUCUCUCUGGGGCAGUGACAAGGACAACUUAAAUCCAGAGGAAACCAGUGCCAUCACCCAAAGCAGAUCUGCAGCAACCUGAGGGACCUCAGUGCCAUUGUGUGACUCAAAGAUCUUUAGAGUUGUAUGUGGUAUUAUUUUCCAUAGAGGACUUUCUAUAGAUCAGUCUUAACUAGACCAAGGGAAGUUUUAAAUAGCUAAAGAAAACUGUGUUUAGAAAGAAGCAGGGGAGAAAUAGUCACACAUUCAGGUGUCUGAACAUCAGUGUUCUGUGAUAAAUAACUUAUACUGUGAAAUAUUUGUGAGGUAUGUAAUUGUGGUUGGGCGUGGUCAUGCAGACAUUACUAAUAGAAAAGUAAGUAUUGCUAUGGAAUCCCGAAAGAUUGGGUUAUAAGCAACUUUCGAGAUAAUGUUGAUUUGUGCAUUUUAUUGUGAUUUUUAGAACUAAACAUUCCACAAGAGGAUAAAAGAGAUGGGACAAAGAAAGCCCCAACUCCUCAAACUGUGUGCCAUAACCUAGAUUGUUGCAUUGUUUUGUAGUGGUGUUACAUAGGAAAAUUCACAGUAAAAUAAAGUAAGUUAGUAAUAGGAUCAAAAUUAGGCAUAUUAAUUAGUGCUGAUUUAAAGCAUUCAGAGAUAUAAGCCUGUUCUUCAGCACAUAUAUCGUUAGGUACCAUCUGUUUUUGUGAAGUUGUUUUCCUUCAUUUUAUUUGCAGACCAGUUGUUAAGAUCUUUUUGUUUUAAUAGUAAAUUUGCCAAGUGUAUCAUGUAAAGGUUUGGAAUUUUGUUUUCUAUUUUUAGUAAAAAAAAAAAAAAAAAAAAGAUUAAAAAGCAGCUAUUCUGCCUGAGCCAUACCCAGUUUUCAAACUUAAAAUAUCUCAGUGAGUUAAAAAUAAAAAUCAGGAAUCUGCUUGAAGUGCCAGCAAAAUUGCAGUUUUGAAAAGUGAACUAACUUAUUUUUAAGUGCUUUUUUGAUUUGAGGCCUCUAAACACGUUUAACUUUAAGCAUAUGCUUAAAUCCCAUUGAUUUAGAUGUGCUUAAUUGCUUUCCUGAAUUGGAAUGCUAUCCUGAAACUUGGCCAAAGAGAGUAGAUCCAUAAAGCUUAAGAAACUCGGGGGCUGAUGCAAAGUCCACUGAGCUGAGUGGAAAAACUCCCAUUGACAGCAGUGGGUUUUGGAUCAAGCCCUAUGCUAAGCAGCUCAACAACUCAGGAGCCCAGGCCUGCCCCUAUUGAAAUCAACAGGAGUUUUGUCAUUGGCUUCAACAGCACUAGGCCCUUUCAAAAGUAACUUUUUAGAAAAAAACAUUUGGCUCUAGCCAAUGUGUCUCAGGUUUCUGCCUGCUGCAGUUUAAAAAGGCCAAUUUAACAGAGUCUGAAAACUGGGAUUCAUAAUGGAAACAUGAACCGAGCUUUAAUUAUAAUGGUGUGAAAAAUACACGAUAAUAACUACUGUGACCAGUCUUCGCUACCCCAUUUUAUGAAUGCAAUACACCUUUGUUCCACUAAGGUACCACCUCCUAAACUCUGAAUUCUGUUCUGUAGUGGCUGAGUAUUUUUAAUAUAGGAACACUAGCUGUAAUCCAUUCACUCGAUGCUACAGUAAACUCGGAGUUUAGUUAAACUCUACUAUUCAUUACAUUGUGCCUUAGUACUGAAAGUUUGACCCAUUAAUAUUGGCUUUUCUGCUUUUGUUGUAACUGUUAGAGGAACAUGUGUACCUCCCACAGUGUUUGUCUAUUUAAUAGGAAAAUAAACCUAGGCUAGCUGACUAUUACUUGAAUUUUAAUAUAUAUUUAAAAUAGAGUAAAUUACCUUCCUAGAGCUUCUGUGUUACUUUUUGUUUAGUAUUGUCUCCACAUAGUUUACUGGUAUAACAAAAAUCUAACAUUAUAUCACAUAAAAAAGUAAUGGUAGGGGGGAAAUAGGGUUUAUGUAGCAGCGUAUUAUUAAUAGAUCACAUGUGAAAUGAAAGUGUUUGUCUGAAUAAACAAAUAUGUUUAUAAUCAGUAAAUGCCCAGUGGGCAUUUCUUAGGUAGUAUGGAUGACCUAAAACUUGUAAGUAGAUGGCAUAUGUAGAAACCCUCUAGGAUCUGUUAAAAUACAAUAUUUGUACUAAUCAGAUGAGCACAGCCAUACUACAGACUACAUUUCUCUCCCUCCCCGUGUGUGUUUUUAAUCCAGCAAGCAAACUUAUUUCCCUUAGGACUGAAAUAAUUUAAGGAUGGUCAGGAAGCUGAAGGUCUGUAUUUUGUCAGACAAAAAUACCUCUCUUUUUCAUUAUUUCUUCAUGUUUUCCUUCUAACAAGAAGCUUGCUGUAAAUUACACUUCUUCCCUUCAUGAGUUUCUUGCCUCUGAAUCUUGGUUUAAAACCACCUGACAGUAUUUAAAAUAUAAUUGCAAUCAGAGGAUGAGCCCUGACAGACUAUUUCAUUCACGUUUUUCCCCAGAGAGAGAUAAUGUGUGAAAUAAUCUGAAAUUAGUUCAAGGAUAUUAAGACAAGUUGUACCUAGUGGAGUCAUGUCAUCCUUUGUAUAAAUCCAUUAAAUUCAGUGGAUUUAAACCCACAGUGAAUUUGGCCUAGUUUCAUUUGAAGGCCUCGCAUGCAUCUACCCUAUGGUCAAUCCUAGGCAGGAUUAGUAGAGUGGAACUAAUAUUGUACAUUUCUAUCCAUUUCCGUCACUCGCUGUUGCUGUCUUGUCCUUCAUCUUGCCAUGAAUUGCCAGACUUUAAAUAUAUAAUUAAUGAGCCUUGUAUCACUUUGGAGUUGACCUUAAUGCAUUAAAAGAAUAUAAUAUACACGUUA